rnacentral:rRNA from 1 species
GACGAACGCUGGCGGCGUGCCUAAUACAUGCAAGUUGAGCGCUGAAGGUUGGUACUUGUACCAACUGGAUGAGCAGCGAACGGGUGAGUAACGCGUGGGGAAUCUGCCUUUGAGCGGGGGACAACAUUUGGAAACGAAUGCUAAUACCGCAUAAAAACUUUAAACACAAGUUUUAAGUUUGAAAGAUGCAAUUGCAUCACUCAAAGAUGAUCCCGCGUUGUAUUAGCUAGUUGGUGAGGUAAAGGCUCACCAAGGGGAUGAUACAUAGCCGACCUGAGAGGGUGAUCGGCCACAUUGGGACUGAGACACGGCCCAAACUCCUACGGGAGGCAGCAGUAGGGAAUCUUCGGCAAUGGACGAAAGUCUGACCGAGCAACGCCGCGUGAGUGAAGAAGGGUGUCGGAUCGUAAAACUCUGUUGGUAGAGAAGAACGUUGGUGAGAGUGGAAAGCUCAUCAAGUGACGGUAACUACCCAGAAAGGGACGGCUAACUACGUG